rnacentral:rRNA from 1 species
UACGUAGGGGGCGAGCGUUGUCCGGAUUUAUUGGGCGUAAAGAGCUCGUAGGCGGUCUGUCGCGUCUGCUGUGAAAACUCGGGGCUUAACCCCGGGCCUGCAGUGGGUACGGGCAGACUAGAGUGCGGUAGGGGAGACUGGAAUUCCUGGUGUAGCGGUGAAAUGCGCAGAUAUCAGGAGGAACACCGGUGGCGAAGGCGGGUCUCUGGGCCGUAACUGACGCUGAGGAGCGAAAGCGUGGGGAGCGAACAGG